rnacentral:lncRNA from 1 species
GAAGAUACCAAAAGUGGGUGGAUGAUGGGAGCAGGAGCAGCGAAAACGGGCUCGUUACGGAUGAGACUGAUGGGAGUAGUAGCGGCAGAGGAGGAGGAGUUGAGCUUGGCGGUGGCGACAGGGCGGAACGCAACUUUAGAUUGAGUUGAGGUGGUGGUGGUGGUGGAAGUGAGGAGUUGAGAAGCAAAGCAGCUCUUAAUAGUUGAAAUGGAGCAAUGGGCCAUAUUCUAUUAUUCCCUCCCACUACUAGUUUGAUUAAAAAACACUUCAACUUGCAUGCAUGUAAAUAGACUGAGCACUGAUAGCGAAAGCUGGGUACACCACCAUACCUUCUCCAUGCUUACGGAUCAGGUUUCGAUUUUCGACCUCUACUUUUUCCUCGUCCCUCAUAUUUUGUUUUUUCUAUGGAGAUAUCUAGAAAUAAAAUUAAUUAACAAAGGGAAAUGCAUUAUGAAAUUAAUUACUUCAAGUUCAUUAUCGUUCCAUUUUGCAUGCAUGUCACACACUCUUCACGUAUUUUUUUUUUCUGUUUUAUGUGACACAAUUAAUCUGAUUAAAUUUCAUCAAUCUUAUUAUGUGAACUUAUUUUGAAAUAUGAUAAUUGUCUUUAAUUUGAAUAUUUGGAUUUCAUUAUUUUCUUAUUUUAAAUUAAAAAAAAAAAAAAAAAAAAAAGAUUUGAAAAGCUGGGGCAAAUGUAAAGGGACAAAAGCCUAUUAAACCAUUAACCUUAGAAUGACACGUCAGAAGAGAGGGAUGAGUUUGUGAUGGAGAAAUGAUUUAACAGAGUUAGGGAUGAGGUGCAGAAAAAUUGUUGGAUAUUAGUUGAAUCAAAAUAUGCGGUGCACCGGCGACUGACAUUUUGGCCUAUGGGGGGUUAGAAGAUGAUGAAAAGGGAUAAGGUCCUAUCUUCAAAACUUGGUUACAAUGCUGCUCCACAUCUACAUUUUUAUCUUAUUAUCUUACACUCAAUUUAUUUUUCAGUGUACAUGCAUAUUGAUAUUUCAUUCUCUUUUUUUUUUUUCAAAAAACAAAAAACAAAAAAUAAAAAUUGACCACUAAAGUUUCAAGACAAGAAAAUGUUAUCUUUCCUCGUAUAAAAAUGCUGCACUUGGUGAAAUACAUAGUGUAGUUUUUUUAUUCUUGAUUAACACACAAUCUUUACAAAUAUAGACGUGGAUGUGUGAAUCUAUAUACGUGUAUGGUAAAAUAAAACAAACUAUGCAGUACUGCCUUGAAGAAGCGCCUAAUUAGUUUCCUUAAGAGGACUUUUAAAUCCAUAAUCCAGCUGCAAAAUACAUGGGGGAAAGAAAAUUGAACAAAUAAAAAAAAAAAUUAAAAAAAUUAAAGUGAUCAACUGAUACAAGUAUACAAACCCUGGAUUCAGUUAUCAUAUGUAUCCAAUCCAUGCACCAAUUUUGGAAGGCAUUCUUGUUUAGCUGAGAGGGGAUAUCUCCCCAGACCAAAAUGGGCUACUGCAAAUUGUUGAUGAUUUUUCAUCUUCUGGAAAGAAAAAUAUAAAAAUGAAGGCUUGUAUGAGAUAUUGAAUUAAUUUGGGGGGGAUAGUGUGGUUUUUUUUCGUUGUAUUUAAGGCAUGAAGCUGUUCGAGUUAUGUCAACAUUGUUACAACAUCAUUUCUCGUACUCUUGUGCGUGACUUACACUUGUGACACCUAACCUAUUACCAGUUAACUUUCUUUAUUUUGUAUUUUUUUUCGGAAUAAAAAUAUAGCAAAAAUUAUGAAACUUGUCUUGUGGGCUAGUUAAAGCUCUCUGGGCCCGGUUUGGUUAGAAUAUGAAAUCUGCCACCACAGUGUCGACAUUUAUAGCUCAAGUCCUCGCCACGUGGCAUUAUUCUACAGGUUAAACUGAUAACCGGAGAAAUAAGAAAAGCACUACACGAUUCUCCGGACGACGUCGUUUCAGCCUCUAGUUAGUUAAGAUCGUUACAGAUUGACAUAAUCAAUCAAGCUAAACAAGUUACUUUGAAGGAUAGGAUUUUGCACCACACCAGCUAUAUAACAGAAAAUUACAUUCAACAAUAAAUAUAUGUUUCUAUUUCCGAGCACCUCGUAACUUAUAAGUAAUAGAUCGUAAGAGUCCCGAAUUGAGCACACCAAUUCGGGAUCACGUACGUUGUCUUUCAUCGCCAUAAGUCUUGAUUCUGAUAUGCGGAGUGUUCUUUGUACAACACAAAGUUUAUUUUUUCAAUACAUCAAAUAGGACUCUCUAUAAACUUAUUGCUUUAAUACAUUAAAUACGACUAGGCUCUUUCGAUACUGAAGUUGACGAACUUCGUGGGAUAAAUCGAAUACGACUAGGCUCUUGCAUAGUGAACAGGCCACUCCAUAUCUCUUCACGCACUCACAUUCUCAAAUAUAGAGCCUAUAUAUGCGCAUUGCAAAUAAAGGAUGUAAAAGCCACGAUCCAGAAAAACGAGCAGGGUAGAUGAAAAAAACUUCCCUUGAACAAUUUCCAGAUGUUGAUUUUCUCGACUAAUCAAUGAAAGGCUGUCAUCAUUUCGGGGCCAGCUUUAUUGGACAGACACCGAAAGCAACACAUCGAGCUGCUUUUGCUAACAUAAAGCGUUCAUUUUCGGUCAAUGGCCUCUCAAUGACCUUUAUAAUGUUUGCAUCCUAGUACAUACACAAUCCAACUACCAUCAGCACUCAUAACAGAAUAAUAAAAAUACUAAAUGUAAUCCGUCAGUUCUAUAUCUGUAUCGUUUUGGAAAGAGAAAAGAGAGAGAGAGAGAGAGAGAGAGAGAGAGAAAAAGAAUUAGCUUAGCAAAGGUUAUUUCAUUGCGGAUUUAAAUUUAUAAUACCUUCUUUUGUUGUUGAACGGAAGGUUUCACGCUGGCAAUAUCGCCCACUACAAUCACAUUAUUGACAUUCCCACUGUCAUCUCUUUCGAUUGGUGAAGCUGUUGAAUGCCUCCAGUCCCCAUUAGUUAUAUAUUUGUAGUAGUACCUGACAUAUAUAUAGAACUCAAUUCUUGCCAUGUAAGUGACGUAAAAUAUUUGGUGAUGCUUUCGUUCUCCUCUAGAAUUCAAUAAGAGGAGAUAUCAUUCUUCAUAAAUUUGAGCAAGCACAAAAUAAAUCUUUCUAAAUAACAGGAUUAGGGAGUACUUACUUUCCCUGUGGAAGUCUGAUUUCAACUUCAUAUCUUGGUCCACCCUUAUGGACUGCCUUGAUUGGCUCUUUCCAGUUCCCGGUAAAAUCGCCCACCAGAGCCACAUCUUCUCCCUGAAACGAGAAGUGAUAAUUUCUUCAAUUAGAAAAAUAAGAACGACAUUUGACUUAAUCUCCAAUCAUAAAGAUUUAAAACUCUGUUUUUGUUGGCUUGGUAAUAAUCUUCUCACCUCAUGCCCAUUCCAUACAAAUGUGACUGCAUGCGUCGAAGGUCCAUCAGGGUUGCCACUUUCAACCAUGGCUAUGAGAUCCCAUGUUGCCCAAGCAAUUGCUGGUCUGCGUUUAACAUCUUUGCUUAAUUAAUGCAUUUGGUUUACAGAGAUUCAUCUUUUCUUUUAUUUACCAUCCUAACUUGUACGACACUGACAACGAGAAAGGCAAAACAAAAUUGAAUAUAGGAAGUAGAAUACCUGUCAGGUUUGCAUGAAUGCAACCCAGUAACGAAAUUGUAGGCUGCAUGAAGGGAAGUAUCUGUCAUCCAGUGAAGGUAUGCGAUAACACAAGCAGGGGAUCGAUCAAACCCUGUUGUGCAAGUGACGUAAACACGAUGAUUCUUCUUAAGUAAACGUAGCAGAACACCCACACAGAAUGGCAAUUUCUUUCUGAUGUCAAAAGAAUCUCCAUCCCUGAAAAAAAUGAAAAAAAAAAAACACGAAUCGUAGAACAUCAUAGUAAAUACAGGAGUAUUUGUUUUUGUAACUAACCAUAUCUCCAAAAGGUAAAUCAAAUACGAUAUUUAUUGAGUUGCUUAUUGACAACAUAAAAUAAUGAUAUUUAGAUAGCAAUGAGGCAAUACUGGUUUGUAUGAAUUUUCCUCAGAUAGACAAAUUGCAGUUACCUUAUUGGAUAGCUAAUCAUAAGGAUAUUAGACUUUUGGCAUGCUUCGUUUAUCGAAUUUGAAUCAAUUUCCCAGUUCGCAGCUUCAGACGCACUCUGGAAAUUGAGGACAGCAGUGACUCCCUGAUGCAGGUAUUGCAGAUUGUUUUAGGAGAGCAACUGAAUAAAGAACAUAUCACAUAUACAAUACUCUUUACGAGAUAAUGUCCAGAACAAAUAAUCUCAGUACUGCUUUUCCAUGUUCUUCUUGAUAACUAGAGAAACUUAAAGCUAAAAUACUAUGAUGAUGCUUUCAGAAGUGAAUCUCAAACUCAGUCGAACUUCUGAAAUGUCUCCUCAGCAAACUUCAAGUAGGUAAUAUGGGAUAUCUGAAGAAACUUCUUGUAUAGGAUGCACAAUAUACAACUGCGAUCAGAAUCAAAGAAUAGAAAGAUGCAAAUAAAGCAGUAGUAUAUAGAACAAAAGGCAUGAUCUCUCUCACCGCAGUGGUAGACAAAAUCUCCACAUCUUCUUCUGUUUGAAUACAUGAGCCAACGUGAAUUUGUUCCGUAAUCUAUCAGAGAGCAAAGAAAAAACAUCAGUAGGAUGAAAGUUGUAUAUAACACAUAUUGCAUCAGAAGCAAAUGCAAUACAUAAGAUGUGUGUAUGUCACGCGUUUGCAAACUCUAACAAACUGGAUAGUAGAAAUCCUUUAAUUCUGGGACAAUAAUAUAAUGACAAAUCCAAGCAUUACGAGUGAAUUAGUUCAAAAGCAUACCUUACUAUAGCGCAUACCAAGAGAGUGAUCAUAAUAGAGCUCUCCUUUUGAACGUUCCAAUGCCUUGACAUACUCUUCCAAUGGGAAGCUCCCAUGUGCCCAUUCGGCAUCUUCAGACACUUCCGCUGUGAAAAUAGCUACUAAAGGACUAAAAGGUAGAUCAGGGCUGUUCUUAGCCAUUUGUGGUUUCUCAUUCUUGCUCUCAUCAUUUAAAUACUUCCACCCUCGUGAAUUUAAAAAUUUGGGGCAAAACACAGCAAACCCACAGUUUCCACUGCUCUCAGCUGACGCCCCCAAAUUUGAUGCUCGUAUAGUUUUGUUCCAAGUGGUCACUGGAACACGACCUCGAUUAAAUAAAAUGUCGAGAUCAUUAAGGAGAAAGAGUUGAUGGAUCGGAAAAGGGGAGAAGGGUCUCUCAAGUACAAGGCUACAAGAACCCGAUUUCUCCUUUGUAAAAGUCCUGCAUAUAAUUGCGCAACGAAUACAGUAACUAAAUAGAUAUCUAGGUUGAUCAGAACACAAUUUAUAACGAGUUAUAUGGAUAUGUCAAACAUAUCAUUUGGAACAAUUUACUCUGUAUCGCCGAAAUCCUUGAUCUCAAUAAGCUUCCCAUCGGAUGAUUCACUUGCCUUCUUCAAAGUAUCGCCCACCAUAAUUAUCCUCGAUUUCUCAGCAUUACCCUACAUUAUCACUUGCCGAAAUUAAUUAAACGAUAUCACCACCAAACAACAAUAUAAUACUCCACUCCAUAGGUCCACCAAUUCAAGUAGAACUAAACUUUUUCACUACCAUACAUUUUAAAUAACCUAAUACAUUAGUUCAGAUCACGCUUAAGAAACUAGAUUCUCGUAAGGAAAAAAGCAAGUACCCCUUUUCGAAGCGCAUGCACGAAAACUUUUCCGUCGAGAGAGAGGGCGAAGCGGAUGCCCAGGGGUUUAUCAAGCGUCACCAUGUACUCAUUCAAAUUCAUCUUGAAUUCGGUGGAGGAGGACAUCGCAAAAACCCUAGGAUCUCUUCCAUUUGACCGUUGCCUCUUCUCGCCGCCUUUUCCGUCGUACAAAUUCAAACCUCCGCCCCCCCAAAACGAGGAGCGGAUUGCAAAAUUGCUCCUCCGCAGCUUCUUCUCAGCCGAAGGGAAGCCGGCGGCGAAAGUCGACUGGUGAUUGAAGCCUCUGCAAUUCGACAACUGCAGAGAACACAUCUCAAUUCAGCUGAAAAUUGAGUGGAUUUUGAUCCAGAUAUUUCAGAACUACACCAAUCAAAAGGAACUAUAGCAGUAUUUGAGAAGUGUAUGUAUGUGUGUAUGUAUAUGUGUAUGUAUAUAAUGGCGCAGUGGGAUUGGAGCUUUAGUAUGGGGAUUGAAAAUGAAAAAAAAAGAAAGAAAAGAAGAAGGGUGGUGAGUUUGAGUGGUGAGUGAUGGGAUAAAUGCACAGCAGGGGAAACUCCACGUGAAAACCCCCCAUCAGAUUUUCUCUCUCUCUCCCACGUGGAUUUUGUUAUACUUUAUUUGUAUUUAAUGCCACGUCACUACCAAUAAGAUCUUUCCACAUGCUUCGAAAUUUCCAUUUCUCAAAAAAAAAAGAGAAAAAUAUUUUCUCAAAAUUAGGGAUGAUCACAAAUAAUUUGACCUUGCCAUAAUUAAAAAUAAAAUUUUAAUAUUGUAGAAAGAUCGUUAUGGUUUGUAUGAUGCUACGCUCGAUGAAAUACAUCGGGUGAUUAUUAGACGUUGAUUUGUUUAGUGGGAAGCUAUUUCACCAGAUCAAUGGUUAAUAAUUAUCCGAUAUAUUUCACCAGAUGUAGCAUCUCAAAGACCGAUAAUCAGCUUGAGACGUGAUUUGAACAAUAUGUAAUGCCGACACGAAAAUGGCGAUACAGGAAAAUGACAAAUUUGGGAAACGUUUUAUAUUCAACAUAAAUAUUAUUAUCAAUUAUAAGUUUGCAGUUGAUAGUUAAAUUAUGUAAAUAGUUAGGGAAACGACAACAAUAAUUCAAAUUUCGAUAUUUAAAUAUGUUUCUAACUUUUCAGAAAUUGUAAAAUGACUCAUAAGAUGUCGGACAUGUGCCCUUGAGUGUCGAACGUGAAACAUGUCCGAAACGCAAAUACGUUACGAAGUUGAAGUUUUCGUACUGCAUAGUUUGAUACAAUGAGAGAUAAUUACCAAAACCCCAAAUUAAAAAAAAAUAUCAACCAAAAUCAAAUAUUUUUUUUCUUUUUGGAGAGUGGCCAAUUACGAGACGUUCAUUAUAGGCUAUUAGCCCAAUUAAAUAAAUGUGAAUUAUUGGGCUAUAUAUAUAUAUGUAUAUAGCCCAUAAAAUUUGGAUUAAGGUAACAUUGCAGGUUUGAAAUCGGAGCCCAAAAAAAAAAAAAAUCGGAGCCCAAUAAAAAAAAAAAAAAUCGGAGCCAGUUCUUUUUGGUUAGGAAUGGAAGUAAUUAUCAUUAAUUUAUCAGUUAUCACCACUAGCAAUUAUCUUAGUUCCUUAAUCAUUAGUUUGCUUUUCGGAUAAAUCCCAAUCAAGAGCAUACUUACAUUUUUUAUUAUUACAUAAAGAAAUACAAACAAGAAGUAAUAAUUCAGACAAUAAAAUUCCCAGCAACUUCCUUAAAAUCUGGCAUCAAAAGCAAUAUGCGAGCACUAAUUUCGUUUAAUAUAUCUACUCAAUGAAUCCACUUCUUACAGUGUAAAGUUGAACACCCACGUUUUCAAUGUUUAUUGCAUUGUAGCCAUCAGAAAAAGAAAAAAAAAUUAUAUUACACCACAAGAUGCCAAGAAAAUCAUGUGACACCUAAAAAAAGAUAUUCCUACCUGUUCUAAGAGGACCAUCACCAUUACGAGUGUUGGCACUUAAUUUUCAGCUAAUAUUCAAAACUAAUUAAUAGUGGCGUGCAAUAAUAAUUAAGAACCAGAUUUAUAUAAACAAACUCGAAAAUUAAGUAAUUAGAUACUAUUAUCUUUUUAUGUGUAACUGCUGAGAAUUGAGAAAAGGACUAUAAAUGAAUAGAAUUGACUCUUUCAAUCUUAUUCCAUAAAAGGUGAAGCAUAUCUAUCUAUCACAUUAAUAAUUUUCCUAAGUUAGUUAGUUCAUCAAAUCAAAUGCUCAAAUAGUUUAACGAUCUUUACCACGAAAUCCCACCUAUUAAUUCGGCAGCCAUUUAUGUGCCAGUUUGCAUUUUAAUGUCAUUGUAUAAUCCGGAUAAUGUGUAGCUCAACACCGAUGGCUAUUCAUAUGCUAAUGUUAUACUGGGUGGAUUUUUACCGUUAAUCUACAUAUACCAAUAUGAAUGUGUGCGUAUUUGUGUGUAUAUCAAUAGUAAAGAUCUAUUCAGUGUAUUUCACCCGAUGUGACAUUAUAUAGAGUAUAGGCCCUCAACUGAUAAACUACACCAUAAACUAUAUCUUACUAUAUUAGUAUCUAUAAAAUAUUAUUAUUAUUAUUAUUAUUAUUAUUAUUAUUAUUAUUAUUAUUAUUAUUAUUGAGAAUUUCGUUUAAAAUUGAAAACGAGACAUGGAAAAUAAGCUAACUUAGAUGGAUUAAUUGGGCUCACUAGACUGAAUAAACAAAGUCAAAAACUAUAGACAGGGCCUGAAAAAUUUGGCACGGUGGUUGUCGUGACCGUUUGGUCAGAUUUCGAGAAUUGCUUCGAAAACGUCGGGAACGAUAUAUAUAUAUAUAUAUAUAUAUAAAUUUUUUUUUUUUCUUUUUUUACAUUACAAAAUUUGGAAUGGAGUUAAAAAGCAUUUGCAAUGUAUUAUAAUAAUCAUUCAAUAAUCACAAUACAAGGUACAAUCCCGGGUAAUUGUUGGCAAGCAUAUACAAUUUUGAUAUGAAAAAAUAGAUAAUAGAAAAAACAAAAAUAAUUCACAAGUGUUAAUCCAGAGUUUCUAGAAGUGUAGGUAACUUUUACCGGAGUUGUUCACAUUGACAUUGACGAAAAACCCUACCAGGUCUUGCCUGUAGGGUAGAUACGAUUUCUUCCUAUCCCCUUCCUUCACCGCUCUGUUCCGUACAUACAGCGCUUCGUGCGCCGAUAGCGAUCCCCCCGUCCUCACGGCGGCGGAUCCGCCGCCGCCGCCACCUACCUUCGCCUUCGCUUUUUUCGGAAUUUCCGGAGAUAAUUUUUCCUCCCGAUUUUUCGGUGUCAAAAAGACGAAACUGUCCUUUCCUUCACUAUUGCUCCGCCGCAGCAAAUCGCGAAACUUCCACCGCUUCGACGCAGAUCCGGUGGAUUUGCUCUUCUUACAAUGGCUUGGAGACGGCUGCUCGGCAGCUUUCGGCCGCCAAACGCAGUACGUACCGGCCGGAACACUCUCCAAUUCGUCGGCUUCCGACGACGAGCACGACUGAGGAUCAUCACCGUCGCGAUCCUCAAUAAAAAGCUUACCCAGCGGAACGGCGAUUCUCGAUUCCAAUCGGCUAUUUCCGCCGUCGUUGUACCGCAGAAGGUCACGGUUGAAUACCGGAAAAAUCGGUCCGAUUCGGCCGUCGCCGGCGAAAUCCUCGGCUGAAACCUCCUUACCCUCGCUUACCAAAGUGAACUCAAAAUCUUCGUCGUCGUAGCUGUGGUCUCCCUGUGCGGCGUCGUUUGUAUUCUCCUCCGCCGCCACUUCACCGGCGAUUUCCGCUAAUCUGUCUGAUGAAUAGCUGUUAAAGCUAGGGCACGCGUAUAUAUCUUCUUUGGUGUUUUCCAUUUUACAAAUUUCAUCCAUAAAUAGUUAUAUAUAUAUAUAUAUAUAUAUAUAUAGAUAUAGAUAUAUGUGUUUGUAUGUAUAUGCUGAGAGAGAAAAAAACAGAGGAAAGUAAGAGAGAGGUGAGGAAGGAGAUAAAGGGGUUUGUUAGAACUUAUAUACGCGGGGGCUCUGGAAUUUCCAAAGGAAAUUAGGAGGGAAUACCAAAUAAAAAAUUUAAUUGACAAAAGUACUUUUAGUUAAAAAAAUCUUAAUAUAUAUUAAAUAAUAAUCAAAUGUAAAUGUAGAUUUCGUCAAGAUAAAUCAGAACCUUCUCAAAAAAUUAAAAAAAUUAAUUAAUAAACUCAGAAAUAGACAUUUCCUAUUAGAUUUGUCUUCUUUGAAUUAAAUUAGCAUUUAAAUUAUUAAAAGGAAAUAUUCAAUGUACCAACUUCUCCUUGAAUAACUUUACUUUCACAUAGCUGUUACAAUUUCAUUGGUUUUUAUACGUCUGUUCACUUACCUAUUCAAGUGCAUUUAAUAUAUUCAUUUCUGUUAAAAUUAAUUAAAACAAAAUAAGUGGACGAAAAUAAAAUUAUGAAUAUCACUCAAUUAAAAUAAGGAGAACGACAUAUUGCAUGAUUCAACUACACGGAACAAAAUUAUAUAUCUAACUAAAUAUUUAAACUUAUUUAUUACAGUAUUAGUUAUUUCAUAUGAAAUCAUGAAUUAGCUAUUAACCCGGAUUAAAUUUUAUAUAACACAUUAUACUAACACGAUUUUUACUGAAAAUAAAUCAGAUUUUCUCAAAUUUGGUGGAAAAUAAAAUCAUUUUAAAUAAGUAAAAGAAAAGGAAGAGAUCUGGAAGCAUGGGAGAUACAGUAAUGGUUGAUGGCUAGGUCAAACGACUGAAGCGGUUAGUUUACACGUGGAUUUCUAGAAGGAGAUCUUAAAAUGCUAUUAGGCGCCCAACUCCUAGUCUAUGCCACGUGGAUAAUCCCCUCGACGAUGACCGGACAAGUUCUAUACACAUAGGCCCGUUUCGUUGGCAAGAUAAGAUUAGUCAAUAUAAGAUUAAAUAAUCUAAUAAAACCCAAUUAUUUUAUUGAAACUUGAAACGUCCAAUAAAGAAAUGGUUAACUGCAAAAAAUCUCCUAAACUUUGGACGUUUUUUCACUUUACCCCAUAAGCAGAAAAAAAAUGCACGAGCAUACCUGGACUCUAGUAUUUGUGGCACCGACAUCAAAAUCGUCCAAUUUUAGCUAAAUUGUUCCCUAAAUUGCACACGUGCAACUCACACGUGAAAAUGGAGGGGUAAUUUUGUCAAUUCAAAGAUUUUUAGAAAAAAGGAAAAAUGAAAAAGAAAAAGACCAUGUAAAUGCUAUGAAAGCUACAAAAGACGCCGAUAAAAAGUUGGCAAAUUAACUAACACUAUUGAUGUGAGGGUUUGUUAGAAACUUAGAAUAGCUUAGUUUGGUUUACAUCUCUCGAAUAGUUUGCAAGCUAUUAAACGAAAAAUAUAGAUUUACUCAGUACUUCUAUAUGAUUGGCUGAUACUGAUUCCUUCAUUAGAAAGAAAAAAAAAAUUACUACAUGACGAAAGGACUAGGAGUAUCAACAUCUUGCAAACAAAAAGCCUAAGGUUGGGGGACAAUAACCACGAUCAGGUAUAUAUGACAGGCAACGCAAUUAAAUAAAAUAAAAUAAAAUAAAAAUAACACUAAGGUACUUAAAUUAUUAAUUCAAUAAAGAAAAAGGAGCAUUCUGUCGGGAACUCACCGAACUUGAAGGACAGUGACUCAAGAGCCAGCCGGCAAUAAAAUAAUGAAAAAAGAAUCUUUAUUUUCGUUUUAUUUGUUCAUUUUCCCACAAUUUCACUAACGUGUAUGUAACAAUAAGUAUAACUAACAUAAAUAAAAACUCAUAUUUUUAAAUUAGUACAAUAAAAUUGUACGCGCUAGACAAUAAUAGUUCAUGUUAUGCACUGCACCAUUUUGAUUAUUCAUCUAUGUAGAACACAUGAAAAAUAUAUAUAAUCACCAGCCAAUUAGUCAACACUUCAUUUUUAUUUCUUCUUUACCUAAUCAUUAUGCAGGGAACAAGUAGUUUCUUCAUAAUAAAUAAACACAAAAGACUUUGUAGAGUACUUACAACAUAAGCAAGAUCUUAUAUAUAUAUAUAUAUAUAUAUAUAUCAAAGGUGACAGAGUCCAUUGUGUUUGACGAAGCAAGAAAAAUCAUAAACAAAAGAAACUUAUGAUUCCUAGCUCAUCUAUAACAAGUAUACAUUUUCAUAUCUUGAAGAUGAUGACACUAUAACCUUAUAUACAGACAAACAUGUCAUAUUAUCAGUAAAAUGCAUGGACUCAACAUCACAUUAAACAAUCCGCUAAAUUUCUCAAGAGUCAACAUACGAAUAUAUAUACUAUUUACUUAGUAAUGAAUCUUCCUCUAUCAACUUACCUGUUUUCUUGGACAAGUCUCUAGAAGUUUCCAACUCCGAGCUCGAAAGACGUCGUCUUUGAAUGACGUCAUGGAUCAUAGGAUUGAACUCGGUCUGAAAAGCCCUGUACAGAAAGUACGGUAAUAGAGAGGAUAAUACGACAACAAGUGUUCCCAGCCAAUAGAAAGGACUCGGUGCACAGGCUUCGACGAGGACCUGAUAAGCCGUUGUGGAUGUUGUAGGCGAGAUUGCUCCGUAGAUAACUAAAAAAGCGUACCAGAAUGCAAUGCUGCCCCAUAUGAAGAAGUGUUGGAUCCAAGUGAAGUAGUUGAUUGAAACUGCCAUCUGGCAGUUAACUGUCCAAAUAAUGCAAGUGUACAUCAUAACUCCGAGCACUUCGAAGUCAACGACCUGGCCGUCUUUACGGAAGGAUUGGUGCAGGACGGAGUUGGUUGUGAAAAAGAAAAUGAUCAUUGAACUAAUUACGCCGUUUAGCAUCCAGCCAAUAAUGCGUGGCCAGCUGAAGAGAACGUCUUGAACUCCCUCUUGAUAUAACAUGGGAUACUGUUAAAAAAAAAAAGUGUGCAAAUUGGAAUCAUUUUCGUUCCUAAUUAAUUCUGCAUAGAUCAGAUAUAGAAGACCCAGGCCUCGUUUGGUUGGUAAUAUAAGUCAUGAUCAAUUAAAUAAUUAGUUCUUAUUUGAUGUUAGGUUGUGCAAUAACUUUUCAAGCUUAUUGGGGGUCAGCUUCCCUAGUUCAAUUAUACAAUUGGGUUUUCAUAAGAUUGCAUAGUCAUAUUUUGGGAACCAAACGAGGCCUUGUAGUAUGGAAAUGUUAUUAUUUUUAUUUUUACCUUCAAGCAAAAUCGUGCAGAAACGUCUUGAUCAAAGACACCAAGAGCAAUGACGGGGAGUGAAGUAAAGAAAACGUUGUAGAAUGACAUGUACCAAUCGUUGUAAGCUGGUUGACCAGAGAAGGAAGCAUGAGCCUCGAACCAGAAUAGAGUGAACCCAAAUGCAAUGUUCUUGUAAAAGAAAUAACAUAUCUGCAGUGACAGCAUGAGAAGAGACACCAAAACCAUGAGUUGGUAUAGAUUGAUUAAGUUUAAGUGCUUAACUCUUAUAUCUUCACCUAGAUUUUGACACAAUUGGAUUUAAAAUACAAAUUUCUGCAUUAGAAAAAAAAAUUCAAUACCAUCAUGGAUAUUCGUCUGUAGCACCAAUGGCCAUGAACCAACAAAAGUCGUUCGAGGAACCGGAACUGAGCUAUCGAAAAGUCACUUGACAUUGCAGCCUAAAUUUGAAAUACCCAGAAAAUACAAUAUUGGGAAACAGUAAGCUAUAGAAAAGUUAAAAUGUGAUAUUGCAUGACAAACUAGCGUCUAAUAGUUCAUAUAAGAGAGAAAAUAAAAGAAGGUAAAUAUUGACAUAAAACAGAGUAUUGAGAUUACCUGCAUACCUUCAACGCCGCUGAUGCCAACCCCAAUAUCAGCUUCUUGAAGCAUGCCUACAUCAUUCGCCCCGUCACCAAUUGCUAGUGUCGUCCUUCCCCUACCCUUUUUAACCAAUCUUGUAACCUGAAUAUCUUCAACAGUGCCACCCCAUUAUUUUGCUUCCAAUAAUUCUUCAAUUCCAUAAGAAUAAAGGAAAAUAUAUGGAAUGUAUAAUAUAUAUCCAUAAUGUGUGGGGGGUGUGUGUUUAAAGGAAGUGUAAUGAUAACACGUACAAGAGCUUUCUGUUUAGGUGUGGAGCGGCAGCAUAUAACAGAUGCACAAUUAAUUGCAAGAUCCAGAAAUGAAUCUUCCUGAUUCUUGCUCAGAGCGUAAGAUAGUGACUUGCCAUCAAUUAUUAAACCAAAGGAAAUGGAAUUCCCUUCACAUGAGCUCAGUUGCAAUUUUCCUUCUCUGAUUUGAUUUGCAAUGCUUGCACUCGAAGCCUAAUAUGGCCAGACCCAUUAAGAAAAUGUAAUUUUAUAAUUGAGAGUUUUGGAGAUAUAAGACCUGUACCUUCGCAACAGCCUUCUUUUCUCCUCGUUUUUCUAGGUCGUUAAUUUCUGGAGAGUCUAAAGU